rnacentral:rRNA from 1 species
AGUGAACGCUGGCGGUAGGCCUAACACAUGCAAGUCGAACGGCAGCACAGUAAGAGCUUGCUCUUACGGGUGGCGAGUGGCGGACGGGGGAGGAAUACAUCGGAAUCUACUUUUUCGUGGGGGAUAACGUAGGGAAAAUUACGCUAAUACCGCAUACGACCUACGGGUGAAAGCAGGGGAUCUUCGGACCUUGCGCGAUUGAAUGAGCCGAUGUCGGAUUAGCUAGUUGGCGGGGUAAAGGCCCACCAAGGCGACGAUCCGUAGCUGGUCUGAGAGGAUGAUCAGCCACACUGGGACUGAGACACGAUCCAGACUCCUACGGGAGGCAGCAGUGGGGAAUAUUGGACAAUGGGCGCAAGCCUGAUCCAGCCAUACCGCGUGGGUGAAGAAGGCCUUCGGGUUGUAAAGCCCUUUUGUUGGGAAAGAAAAGCAGCAGGUUAAUACCCCGCUGUUCUGACGGUACCCAAAGAAUAAGCACCGGCUAACUUCGUG